AGCAGCCGCGGUAAUUCCAGCUCCAAUAGCGUAUAUUAAAGUUGUUGCAGUUAAAAAGCUCGUAGUUGAAUUUCGGGGUCAGUAGGUUGGUCAUGCCACUGGUAUGUACUGGUCUCACUGAUUCCUCCUUCCUGAUGAGCCGUAAUGCCAUUAAUUUGGUGUUGCGGGGAAUCUGGACUGUUACUUUGAAAAAAUUAGAGUGUUUAAAGCAAGCUAACGCUUGAAUACAUUAGCAUGGAAUAAUGAAAUAGGACGUUCGGUCUUAUUUUGUUGGUUUCUAAGAUUGACGUAAUGAUUAAUAGGGAUAGUUGGGGGCAUUAGUAUUCAAUUGUCAGAGGUGAAAUUCUUGGAUUUAUUGAAGACUAACUACUGCGAAAGCAUUUGCCAAGGAUGUUUUCAUUAAUCAAGAACGAAAGUUAGGGGAUCGAAGACGAUCAGAUACCGUCGUAGUCUUAACCAUAAACUAUGCCGACUAGGGAUCGGAUGAUGUUAAUUUUUUAAUGACUCA
rnacentral:rRNA from 1 species